AGGCAUAGGCAACCUUUGGCCCUCCAGAUGUUUUGGGAAUUGUAGUCCAAAACAUCUGGAGGGCCAAAGGUUUCCUAUGCCU